GCCAGCAUAGCAUAGUGGCUUGAGCCUUGGAUUGUGACUCUGGGAGCCAGGGUUUGAUUCCCAGUUCAGCCA